rnacentral:tmRNA from 1 species
GGGGCUGAUUCUGGAUUCGACGGGAUUUGCGAAACCCAAGGUGCAUGCCGAGGGGCGGUUGGCCUCGUAAAAAGCCGCAAAAAAAUAGUCGAAAACGACGAAAACUACGCUUUAGCAGCUUAAUAACCUGCUUAGAGCCCUCUCUCCCUAGCCUCCGCUCUUAGGACGGGGAUCAAGAGAGGUCAAACCCAAAAGAGAUCGCGUGGAUGCCCUGCCUGGGGUUGAAGCGUUAAAACGAAUCAGGCUAGUCUGGUAGUGGCGUGUCCGUCCGCAGGUGCCAGGCGAAUGUAAAGACUGACUAAGCAUGUAGUACCGAGGAUGUAGGAAUUUCGGACGCGGGUUCAACUCCCGCCAGCUCCACCA